AUCCAACUGACGAGUCUCAAACAGGACGAAACACGCGUCCAAGGU
rnacentral:hammerhead_ribozyme from 1 species